rnacentral:sRNA from 1 species
UGAUUGUCACUACCAUUGCAAAUAGCUC